CUUCAGCCAGAUUUCCACACCCACCUGCACAGGGCCCUCCUUUGCCCCCUGCAAAUGUCAGUGUGUCCUCAUUCCCCUUAGAGCAGGUCCACGGCCGGAGGCUGCCCAGAGGAGACUGGGGGUGUCUGUGCCUGUGCAUGGCGGCGUCCACCCCAGAACCCCCAAAUACAUGCAUAUAAAGCUCUGAGGAGCACUGUGGCCCUUUGCUGACAGUCAAGGGUUUGCAUCUGGUGGGGAAGUUUGUUUUGUUCUUUUUUUCUUCAUUUUAUUUGUAUUUGUUGUGAAAUACACAGAACAUGAAAUUGGCCAUUAGCUACUUCUGAAGAGUACAGUUCCACCGUGAAGAGCUCAUUCCCAUUGUUGUGCAACCCAUCUCCAGAACUGUUUUCAUCUUGCAAAACUGAAACUGCAAACCCAUUAAACACUAACUUCUCAUCCUCCCUCCCGCUCCCCCUGGCAACCCCCAUUCUCCAGUCUGUCUCUAUGAAUUCGACAACUCUAGGCUAUUCAGAAUGCCAGAACAAGUGGUGAGAGUGUGAACUUUUCGUCAGCCUCGACUGCAUGUGCAGACCAGUCAAAAACAAGGCGUGACCACUGGAGAUCGUGUUUGGGAAUCAGUCACGGUUUCCCAAUUGAUGGGCAUGGUUGGUAAUUUCACGCAAGGACUUGGAAUUCUCAUGACCUGACGCUUCUUUGUGUGGUGUGAUUCUGUGCACGAAGGUGACUGGGUUUCUGCCUUUGCUGUUUAAACACCUUUGCUGUGGCCCGCAGAGGAGAAGUAGUUUGGUGUUUAUGACCAAAGAUAA
rnacentral:lncRNA from 10 species